AAUCAACGCUGGCGGCGUGCCUAACACAUGCAAGUCGUACGAGAAAGGGGAGCAAUCCCUGAGUAAAGUGGCGACCGGGUGAGUAACACGUGACUACCUACCUUCUAGUGGGGGAUAACUCCGGGAACCGGAGCUAAUACCGCAUAACAUCGCAAGAUCAAAGCAGCAAUGCGCUGGAAGAGGGGGUCGCGGCUGAUUAGCUAGUUGGUAGGGUAAUGGCCUACCAAGGCAAAGAUCGGUAUCCGGCCUGAGAGGGCGCACGGACACACUGGAACUGAAACACGGUCCAGACUCCUACGGGAGGCAG
rnacentral:rRNA from 1 species